AACCUAUCGACGGUUUAAACACCACAGCCGCCAACCUCCUCAUACCAAUAUAUACUUCCCAUUUUUUAUUCUGUGUUUUUUUGGAACGAGAAAAAGAAAACAAAAUUAGGUUCUUGUGUUUUUUUCUUUUUCCUAAAUAUAGAUAAAAUUGUGGCAGCUGAGGACGAUGGCCGGAGGCUAGCAGACCACGGUGUUUGUUCCUUGAUCUGAUUGGUUUAAAACCCAAUUGUUGUAUUCCUUCUUUCUCCUCCUUUCUUGUUUUUAGAUUCAAAAUCUAUUUUGAAGAUUUUGUUUGUCUGAGUAUUUAAGAGGUUUCUCAUACUUUGCAUCGAUCCGAAAAAUUUCAAAGGAGCUUUAUCACUAGAAAAGAUGAGGUUUAUCAAGAUUAGUAUAGCAAACCUUCAAUGGCGUCUUAUUCAACAUCAUCGGGUUCUAAAGACUUGACUGUAGACGUGUUUUUGAGGUUCAGAAUUACUUGCUAGCUUCGACCACCGAUACAUCCUUUACAAGCUAAGGAUAAUGAGCGUGCACAAGAACGGUACAUCUUGAGUUCUGCCUAUUUUAAUAGGCUUCCCUGGCCGACACUAGGAGUGAAUCAAAAAGUCAAGUACACCCAGGUCCAAGAGUUCCUGAAUUGCGUAAUCUAAAGGACCGUGUAUCCGCUCUUGAGCAAAAAGUUUAGAAAGAAGAGGAUGGUGAUUGGCUCAUGUUGGAUGAAUUGCUCAAUGAACAUAAGGAUAUUGCCGACACAGGAAUAGGACUUUGCCCGAAGCCACCACCUGUUAAGGAAGAAGCUGUUUAUAUCUUGAAUAAAAAUCGUUUAUGGGAGAUCUUAACACAAUCAGACGAACAGAAGCCUUUCAUCACUGAGGAAGAAUUCAAAAAGUCACACCAUUACCAAAGGUUUGGGGCAGAUUUAGAAGCAAGGAAAAGGAAGUCAAGUUUUCCUUGGAAUAGUGCUAAUGUGAGUAAACCAUCCACCCAUGAUGAAGAAGAAAAGUUCACUGCUUUUAAAAGAGGAGAACCUGUAGAUAUUACCGAGGCAUCGUUGCCCGGGUACAUGAAGAAAGAUUUCAACAAAUUGAAGGCAUUGGUGCAGUCUUAUAUGCCGUGCCCGGUGACACCUUGGAUUGAGAGCCACCUGUGAUUACUUUAUGUAAGAGAUAUAGGUUUCAAUAUCCUAGGUCUGCCCAGCUCCACUAACUGAUAUAACCAACCAAGUCACAGAUUAGACCUGACUUUCCAAACUAGUUGUAAUUUUGAACAAGGAUCUAACACGGGAUGAUCCAUCAAAGCUAUACCCGGUGCCGGGUUAUCAAUACUGGAUUUGCACAAUUUGGGAAAUCUUGAGGGAUGGAAUUUGUUCUUUUCUCGUGAUACAAUCAUAAGACCAUCCUUUUGGAAAUCUUUACUUUGCUUGGAUCAUCAGUCUCUACAAAAUGGUUGGUUGCAUGAUGAGGUUGAUUAUCUGAACGAAACCAGGCCAGAUUGGUGUAUGGUUGACAACCGGUUUUUGACACUUCUAAUGAGGGGCGAUGUAAGCGAGUUAUAUGGAAAUGGCAGUAGGUUUAAAGUGUCCUGGUGAGAAGCUCGCCGGGUAUUCAUUCCGAUUAACAACAAUCAAUAAGCAUUGGACGCUCGACCUCCUUGAUAUACCAACUGGGGUCAUUACCAUAUAGGGUUUAUUCUAUUUACACGAAAUUCCUAUUAAAGUUAUCAUGGAGCUCUACAAGUACCAACGGACAUAGCAGGAGUUAUCAGAAUGUUUAACAACGUCCAAAUAAACCUACCCUUAUAUCUUGAGAGGUUGGUGUAUUCAAUAAGCAAGCAUCGAUAAUCGGUCGUACAACAUAACAUUUGAACCUUUUCUAGAAGAUAUGACCCGUUGACAAGGACAUUUGUAUGGGGUCUGUGGUGUGUUUCAAUGUAUAUUUUUGUAUCGUUUAAGUCAUGGGUUGGGCUUAGAGGUGGAUGAUCCACUCCAAGCUGCGUUAGCAUACCGAGAGCGCAUGGCUAAUCUUUUCAUAGAACAUAAAGAAUGUGCGUCUGAUCUCGCUAAACAACACAGGCUGAAGGCAGCAAAGAUACGGACUUCUUGAAGAAUUGAGUUACUAAAGUUAGGUGUAUUUGGCUGCAAACUUGUACCGAAGUUUGCCUAUUUAUAUGACGGGAUGUAAUGACUACUAGGAUAGGGGAGCUUUUGGCUGCAACUUGUACCAAAGAAUGCUUAGUAAUUUGACUGGAUGUAAUGACUAUUAGCUUGUCGUUUUGAAACCGCUAAUGUUUUUAAUUUUUUUUUGGUAA